AGUACUUUCAGCGGGGAGGAAGGGAGUAAAGUUAAUACCUUUGCUCAUUGACGUUACCCGCAGAAGAAGCACCGGCUAACUCCGUGCCAGCAGCCGCGGUAAUACGGAGGGUGCAAGCGUUAAUCGGAAUUACUGGGCGUAAAGCGCACGCAGGCGGUUUGUUAAGUCAGAUGUGAAAUCCCCGGGCUCAACCUGGGAACUGCAUCUGAUACUGGCAAGCUUGAGUCUCGUAGAGGGGGGUAGAAUUCCAGGUGUAGCGGUGAAAUGCGUAGAGAUCUGGAGGAAUACCGGUGGCGAAGGCGGCCCCCUGGACGAAGACUGACGCUCAGGUGCGAAAGCGUGGGGAGCAAACAGGAUU
rnacentral:rRNA from 1 species